rnacentral:rRNA from 1 species
GACGAACGCUGGCGGCGUGCUUAACACAUGCAAGUCGAACGGUAAGGCCCUUCGGGGUACACGAGUGGCGAACGGGUGAGUAACACGUGGGUGAUCUGCCCUGCACUUCGGGAUAAGCCUGGGAAACUGGGUCUAAUACCGGAUAGGACCACUGCCUGCAUGGGUGGUGGUGGAAAGCUUUUGCGGUGUGGGAUGGGCCCGCGGCCUAUCAGCUUGUUGGUGGGGUGAUGGCCUACCAAGGCGACGACGGGUAGCCGGCCUGAGAGGGUGACCGGCCACACUGGGACUGCGAUACGGCCCAGACUCCAACGGGAGGCAGCAGUGGGGAAUAUUGCACAAUGGGCGCAAGCCUGAUGCAGCGACGCCGCGUGAGGGAUGACGGCCUUCGGGUUGUAAACCUCUUUCAGCACCGACGAAGCGCAAGUGACGGUAGGUGCAGAAGAAGGACCGGCCAACUACGUGCCAGCCGCCGCGGUAA